AGGAUAAACGCUGGCGGCGUGCAUGAGACAUGCAAGUCGAACGGACGAUCAGGGCUUGCUCUGAUCGUUAGUGGCGGACGGCUGAGUAACGCGUAGGUGACCUGCCCCGAAGUGGGGAAUAACUGCCCGAAAGGGUGGCUAAUACCGCAUGUGGUGGUGUGUUCAAUCACACCAGUAAAGCCGCAAGGCGCUUCGGGAGGGGCCUGCGUCCGAUUAGCUCGUUGGUGGGUAACGGCUCACCAAGGCGACGAUCGGUAGGUGGUCUGAGAGGACGAUCACCCAGACUGGGACUGAGACACGGCCCAGACUCCUACGGGAGGCAGCAGUCGGGAAUUUUGCGCAAUGGACGAAAGUCUGACGCAGCAACGCCGCGUGAGGGAUGAAGGCCUUCGGGUUGUAAACCUCUUUUAUCAGGGAAGAUAAUGACGGUACCUGAUGAAUAAGUCACGGCUAACUACGUGCCAGCAGCCGC
rnacentral:rRNA from 1 species